rnacentral:rRNA from 1 species
GACGAACGCUGGCGGCGUGCCUAAUACAUGCAAGUCGAACGCUGAAGGAGGAGCUUGCUCUUCUGGAUGAGUUGCGAACGGGUGAGUAACGCGUAGGUAACCUGCCUGGUAGCGGGGGAUAACUAUUGGAAACGAUAGCUAAUACCGCAUAAGAGUAGAUGUUGCAUGACAUUUGCUUAAAAGGUGCAAUUGCAUCACUACCAGAUGGACCUGCGUUGUAUUAGCUAGUUGGUGGGGUAACGGCUCACCAAGGCGACGAUACAUAGCCGACCUGAGAGGGGGAUCGGCCACGCUGGGACUGAGACACGGCCCAGACUCCUACGGGAGGCAGCAGUAGGGAAUCUUCGGCAAUGGACGGAAGUCUGACCGAGCAACGCCGCGUGAGUGAAGAAGGUUUUCGGAUCGUAAAGCUCUGUUGUAAGAGAAGAACGAGUGUGAGAGUGGAAAGUUCACACUGUGACGGUAUCUUACCAGAAAGGGACGGCUAACUACGUG